rnacentral:rRNA from 1 species
CCUACGGGAGGCAGCAGUGGGGAAUUUUCCGCAAUGGGCGCAAGCCUGACGGAGCAAGACCGCGUGAGGGAGGAAGGCUCUUGGGUUGUAAACCUCUUUUAUCAGGGAAGAAGAUCUGACGGUACCUGAUGAAUCAGCAUCGGCUAACUCCGUGCCAGCAGCCGCGGUAAUACGGAGGAUGCAAGCGUUAUCCGGAUUUAUUGGGCGUAAAGCGUCCGCAGGUGGUUUUUCAAGUCUGCUGUUAAAGCGCAGAGCUUAACUCUGUAACGGCGGUGGAAACUGAGAGACUAGAGUAUGGUAGGGGUAGCGGGAAUUCCCAGUGUAGCGGUGAAAUGCGUAGAUAUUGGGAAGAACACCAGCGGCGAAAGCGCGCUACUGGGCCAUAACUGACACUCAUGGACGAAAGCUAGGGGAGCGAAAGGGAUUAGAUACCCCUGUAGUCCUAGCUGUAAACGAUGGGUACUAGGUGUUGACCGUAUCGACCCGGUCAGUGCCGUAGCUAACGCGUUAAGUACCCCGCCUGGGGAGUAUGCNCGCAGUGUGAACUACAAUAGAAGUUAGACGGCGUGAGACGUGCCGACGGACGACCGACGAGGGAGGUAGG